CGGAGGAUCCAAGCGUUAUCCGGAAUCAUUGGGUUUAAAGGGUCCGUAGGCGGUUUAAUAAGUCAGUGGUGAAAGCCCAUCGCUUAACGAUGGAACGGCCAUUGAUACUGUUAAACUUGAAUUACUGGGAAGUAACUAGAAUAUGUAGUGUAGCGGUGAAAUGCUUAGAUAUUACAUGGAAUACCAAUUGCGAAGGCAGGUUACUACCAGUGGAUUGACGCUGAUGGACGAAAGCGUGGGGAGCGGACAGGAUUAGAUACCCUGGUAGUCCACGCCGUAAACGAUGGAUACUAGCUGUUCGGAGCAAUCUGAGUGGCUAAGCGAAAGUGAUAAGUAUCCCACCUGGGGAGUACGUUCGCAAGAAUG
rnacentral:rRNA from 1 species